GAUACACGUGUGAUUCCUCGUCAAAAGGAGGCUAUCGAGGAGAGGAGGACUGUCUUCCGUUUGCCUACUUAGAGAGGAAGGGUUUUUUCCCCAAACCAGAAAAGGCCUUAAGAGUCAGUCAGGAAGGCAACAGAAAUCUUUGAAAGUAUAAAAACAUUCUCUCCUCUCCUCUCCUCUCCUCUCCUCUCCUCUCAUCUCCUCCUCUUUUCUCCUCCUCUCCUCUCCUCUCCUCCUCUCCUCUCCUCCUCUCCUCUCCUCUCCUCCUCUCAUCUCCUCCUCUCAUCUCCUCCUCUCAUCUCCUCCUCUCCUCUCCUCUCCUCUCCUCCUCUCUUCUCCUCCUCUCCUCUCCUCCUCUCAUCUCCUCCUCUCAUCUCCUCCUCUCAUCUCCUCUCCUCUCCUCCUCUCAUCUCCUCCUCUCAUCUCCUCCUCUCUUCUCCUCCUCUCAUCUCCUCCUCUCCUCUCCUCCUCUCCUCUCCUCAUUCAUCCCUCCUUCCACUGAAACAGCAUUCUGUAGUUUCAGGAAAAGAGGAAGUGACAAGGCAACUUGUUCUGGGUGAAAGGUCACGAAGUGGCUUAGACCAGACUAGUAGAUUAUGAUAGAUGGAGAUGAGUUGAACUCAACAGAGAAACCAGUAGAUGAUAGAUAUGAACAGGUGUAGAUAUGAACAGGUGUAGAUAUGAACAGGUGUAGAUAUGAACAGGUGUAUACAGGUGUAGAUAUGAACAGGUGUAUACAGGUGUAGAUAUGAACAGGUGUAUACAGGUGUAGAUAUGAACAGGUGUAGAUAUGAACAGGUGUAGAUAUGAACAGGUGUAUACAGGUGUAGAUAUGAACAGGUGUAGAUAUGAACAGGUGUAUACAGGUAUAGAUAUGAACAGGUGUAGAUAUGAACAGGUGUAUACAGGUGUAGAUAUGAACAGGUGUAGAUAUGAACAGGUGUAGAUAUGAACAGGUGUAGAUAUGAACAGAUGUAUACAGGUGUAGAUAUGAACAGGUGUAGAUAUGAACAGGUGUAUACAGGUGUAGAUAUGAACAGGUGUAGAUAUGAACAGGUGUAUACAGGUGUAGAUAUGAACAGGUGUAGAUAUGAACAGGUGUAGAGAUGAACAGGUGUAGAUAUGAACAGGUGUAUACAGGUGUAGAUAUGAACAGGAGUCGAUAUGAACAGGUGUAGAUAUGAACAGGUGUAGAUAGAAACAGGUGCCUCUACAGGUGUGUGUAGGUUGUGUCUACAGGUGUCUCUACAGGUGUGUGUAGGUUGUGUCUACAGGUGCCUCUACAGGUGUGUGUAGGUUGUGUCUACAGGUGCCUCUACAGGUGUGUGUAGGUUGUGUCUACAGGUGUCUCUACAGGUGUGUGUAGGUUGUGUCUACAGGUGUCUCUACAGGUGUGUGUAGGUUGUGUCUACAGGUGUCUCUACAGGUGUGUGUAGGUUGUGUCUACAAGUGUGUCUGCAGGUGUCCCAGGUCAUGCUGGAGGUACAGGUACAGACAGGAAGGGUCACCAGGUCAGAGGGUAGAGGUCACUCCAACCUGAUUAUUUUCCCCUCUCUCUCUCUCUCUCUCUCUCUCUUUGUGUUGAGGUGAUCACCGACUGGUAGACAGUUCUGUGUUGAGGUGAUCACCGACUGGUAGACAGUUCUGUGUUGAGGUGAUCACCGACUGGUAGGCAGUUCUGUGUUGAGGUGAUCACCGACUGGUAGACAGUUCUGUGUUGAGGUGAUCACCGGCUGGUAGACAGUUCUGUGUUGAGGUGAUCACCGGCUGGUAGACAGUUCUGUGUUGAGGUGAUCACCGACUGGUAGACAGUUCUGUGUUGAGGUGAUCACCGACUGGUAGACAGUUCUGUGUUGAGGUGAUCACCGACUGGUAGACAGUUCUGUGUUGAGGUGAUCACCGACUGGUAGGCAGUUCUGUGUUGAGGUGAUCACCGACUGGUAGACAGUUCUGUGUUGAGGUGAUCACCGGCUGGUAGACAGUUCUGUGUUGAGGUGAUCACCGACUGGUAGACAGUUCUGUGUUGAGGUGAUCACCGACUGGUAGACAGUUCUGUGUUGAGGUGAUCACCGGCUGGUAGACAGUUCUGUGUUGAGGUGAUCACCGACUGGUAGACAGUUCUGUGUUGAGGUGAUCACCGGCUGGUAGACAGUUCUGUGUUGAGGUGAUCACCGACUGGUAGACAGUUCUGUGUUGAGGUGAUCACCGGCUGGUAGACAGUUCUGUGUUGAGGUGAUCACCGACUGGUAGACAGUUCUGUGUUGAGGUGAUCACCGGCUGGUAGACAGUUCUGUGUUGAGGUGAUCACCGACUGGUAGACAGUUCUGUGUUGAGGUGAUCACCGGCUGGUAGACAGUUCUGUGUUGAGGUGAUCACCGACUGGUAGACAGUUCUGUGUUGAGGUGAUCACCGACUGGUAGGCAGUUCUGUGUUGAGGUGAUCACCGACUGGUAGACAGUUCUGUGUUGAGGUGAUCACCGACUGGUAGACAGUUCUGUGUUGAGGUGAUCACCGACUGGUAGGCAGUUCUGUGUUGAGGUGAUCACCGACUGGUAGGCAGUUCUGUGUUGAGGUGAUCACCGACUGGUAGACAGUUCUGUGUUGAGGUGAUCACCGACUGGUAGACAGUUCUGUGUUGAGGUGAUCACCGACUGGUAGGCAGUUCUGUGUUGAGGUGAUCACCGACUGGUAGGCAGUUCUGUGUUGAGGUGAUCACCGACUGGUAGACAGUUCUGUGUUGAGGUGAUCACCGACUGGUAGACAGUUCUG